CCUCCCCGAGAUGCGAGGCACGAGCUGAUCAGUGCACUGGGAAAGAGAAUUGCUGUUCGGAGAUCCGAGCCUCGAUUCUGUAGUCUAGAAGCCCGAAUCCCGGUGCUUUCAGCAGAUUGAACGACGUACUGCGCAGCUCCAAAUGAAAACCUAUAGGAUGUAACCGUAGGCACACGUUUUUGUCCAAAUGAACGUAAUUUUUGGUCUGUAUUUUUUCCCCUUUAUUUUAUAAUUUCCUAAUUUAUUGUUAUGCAAGGAUUUAACAUACCAAAAAGAUGAUUCGGGGCUACGUUUUUGGCUGGAGAAGCCUUCGACCAACUAAAUGCAACAUUUAGACCUAUAAAGGAUUAUUAUAUGGAUUGCAUUUGAUUAUCUUGGUCUCCCCGCUGGAUUUCGGAUUAUUCACCUUUCGCCAGUAUGGAGGGACGGGAUUUUGCUGCGCCUGCCCACCUCCUAUCGGAGCGGGGCGCGUUGGUACACCGCGCCGCCUCUCGGAUCGCCUCCACCGGCCACAGUUCAGUACAGCAUGGCGGUCAUUUCCCGUCAGGAAAAUACUACCCUUCUCACAUCCCAAUGGCUCCGCAUUCAGCUUUCCAGCGUCCUCCUUUUUCUUCAAUGACAUGCUGGUGAUUCUGAGUGAUAUUCAUGAGUGUCAUGCUGCUGUGGUUGAUGGCAAGCACCCGAACAAAAGCCUGGGCGUUCACUGUUCACGGAAGUGCGUACGGCGACUGAAGGGGGAUCUAAUGUAUGUAACCAGACAUAUAGGCAUAGCCGCGGGAAAAUCCUCCUUCUAUAUCGGGCUUUCGCAGUGCAUGCAUCAGUGACUUAGGUAUAUAUUAUCGAAGUGUACUGCAUGUAAAUAGGCACGUGUGUCAACAUGGAGUGCCUGCGUGCGUGUCCCCACUGGACGACCAACUAACUGUAUUAUAUAGGGACAACCAAAACAUGGGGAAGGUGCAACGUUAGAAGUUCAUAUUCACACCAGUUACAUUUUAGGGUAUGGGAGGAGCUUAUCAAAGUUUGGGGAGACCCCACUGGGCACACAGUGGUUGAAUCAACGUUGUUUCAACGUCAUUUCAAUAAAUUAUGUUGAACCAAUGUGGAAUAGAAGUUGAAUUGACAUCUGUGUCCAGUGGAACAACACCACACAAUAGUUGGAUUUAGACAUGUCACAUUAAACUGCCUAACGUAUAUAAUUCAUAUAAUAGUUUGUUUUUGUUGUCAUUAAUACUUCCACAAUUUCCACAAAUAAUCCUUGUCAUUAGAUGAUAUACCCACUUGCAACUUUAAGGUCAUUGGGGUCACCAUAGAGGACAACAGCACUAUAUUUCUUAUAUGUUACAGGCAGGUGCGGGGUAUGGUUAAAUAAUUAAAUAAUCUAUAGAAGUUAUUGGAUAUUUGAUUCAUAUUUGGCAAAGGCUGAGUCAUCGUUUCCCCUACCAUUGCCCUGUUUCUGAAUUAUGCUGAGACGUUGCAUUUUGGAGUCCCCCAUAGUGUUGAUUUAAAUAUCCUGUUAUGCUCUUCUAGUGCAUUUGUCCAAAUGACAUCUGAUUAUAGCAAUUACACCAAUUCUAAUACAAAUAUGUUUUUUUUAUACAUUAUUGGAAUGUACUGCACACACUGUAUACAUUAUAUCAAAAUCAAUAUACAUUUGUUGACAAGGGGCUCACGAUGCCUCUUCCCGUCUGUCUGUCAGGCAUGUACUCCUGGCCUUUGCAGGAGAUUGUGACGUGGUUAGCUCUUAUAAAGGGCAAUAUGGCAGCAGGUCUGGGUAUGUCUGUGAAUGUCUGGUUGGUGCUCUAGGGGUUUUCCUGGCAUUCCCCCCAACCACAUAGACAACAGCUACAGUGCAGUGGUUGAAGGGAGGGAGAGUGAUUUGGAAAAAAGGCAAACCAUAUUUUUUUUUAGGUGUAUUAUACUUUUGUCAGUUGAUUUUUAUAAUUUGUAAAGUUAUCUAUUGUGUUUUUUCAAUCUCUCAUUGAUAACCAGUUGGUGUGCACCUCAUGUGGAGUUCCUGGCAAAAUCCAUCAUUUGAAAAUGUUAGGCAUUUUUGCCCACUGGGUCCAAUCUCUUCCCAGUAAACUGGGAACAUUCCUAGGACCUUAGCUAACAUUCUACAUUCUAAGUUCUAGUUAGCGUUUUUAUCUAACAUUAGAAUGAUAACAUCCCAAAACAUUAAAAUAAUGUUUUUCAUAACAAAAUAUUUUCUUCUUCUUCAGAAAGUGAUUAAAUGUAAUAUCCUUGAAAUGUCUCCUCAGAUGCACUAAGAUGUAAUGCACGACAUCUGUAACAACCACCACAAAACAUUCCCCUGGGAUUGUUGUUAGGUUUCCAGGUAAUGUAAUAACAAAAUGUGUUCUGGGAACGUUCGUGCAACAUCGGGUGAAUGUUUUAUACAAACAUUGUAUAAUCAUCAGCACAACUGGAAAGUUUUUGUGUAUUAGAAAUUUUGGGGCAACCUAAUUGUAUUUCAUUUUAUAGUCAUUUAGCCCGAAUGAAUGUUCUGGGAACGUUCACAGAACCAAUUUCGGUUUGCUGGGUUAUUCGUCAAACGACUCAAUCUAAUUGAUUUUGAUGUACGGUUGUUGGAAAGAAUAGACAGUUGUAGACCCAUUUAGAAUCACCAUCGGAUCCACCCAACGUUUUUGAACAGGUGCAUUAAGACAUUUUUGCAAUAAAUCACAAAAUCAUGGCAAUUACAUAACGUUAAAGAUGGUUACCAUUCAGCUGUACUAUUCAUUGAUUUCACUAACACCAGAUUGUUUUAAAGUCUAUUCACAAGUACAUUCACAAAUCCAUUGAUUUGUUACUGUAUGUUUUUUGUUGUUAUUGUCUUGAUUUAGUAUUUUGUUACCAGAAAUGAUCCUUUGAUGUUUGGAACACAUCAUAAAGCAACCUAUUGGAUGAGAAUUUGAGUAUAACUCAUUAAUUAGUG